GUAUGGGCUGCUGCUGCGCUGGCUGGCUUAGGUCGCUUGGACUUAGUCAAGAGAGUGUGUACCAGGACACAAAGAAAGGUCAAGUUUAGUCCAGAGAACACAAACAUCUACAUCCACAAAAUAGAAGAUGUGUCAUUACCAGAUAAAAAAAUCUAUACCAGAUGCAGUGAACCACAACCAAGAACUCGGCCAAGCUCCAGGAAUUCAGUCAAAGAGAAGGAGGAGGGGAUAUAUGAGC